rnacentral:rRNA from 1 species
UACGUAGGGGGCGAGCGUUGUCCGGAAUGACUGGGCGUAAAGGGCGCGUAGGCGGCCAGACAAGUCUGGAGUGAAAGUCCCGCUUUCAAGGUGGGAAUGGCUUUGGAAACUGUCUGGCUUGAGUGUGGGAGAGGAUAGCGGAAUUCCCGGUGUAGCGGUGAAAUGCGUAGAGAUCGGGAGGAACACCAGUGGCGAAGGCGGCUAUCUGGACCAAGACUGACGCUGAGGCGCGAAAGCGUGGGUAGCAAACAGGAUUAGAUACC